UCAAGUGAAGAAGCGCAUACGGUGGAUGCCUUGGCAGUCAGAGGCGAUGAAAGACGUGGUAGCCUGCGAAAAGCUUCGGGGAGUCGGCAAACAGACUUUGAUCCGGAGAUGUCUGAAUGGGGGAACCCAGCCAUCAUAAGAUGGUUAUCUUGUACUGAAUACAUAGGUGCAAGAGGCGAACCAGGGGAACUGAAACAUCUAAGUACCCUGAGGAAAAGAAAUCAACCGAGAUUCCCUUAGUAGUGGCGAGCGAACGGGGACUAGCCCUUAAGUGGCUUUGAGAUUAGCGGAACGUUCUGGAAAGUACGGCCAUAGUGGGUGAUAGCCCUGUACGCGAAAAUCUCUUAGUCAUGAAAUCGAGUAGGACGGAGCACGAGAAACUUUGUCUGAAUAUGGGGGGACCAUCCUCCAAGGCUAAAUACUACUGACUGACCGAUAGUGAACUAGUACCGUGAGGGAAAGGCGAAAAGAACCCCGGAGAGGGGAGUGAAAUAGAUCCUGAAACCGUAUGCGUACAAGCAGUGGGAGCCCACUUUGUUGGGUGACUGCGUACCUUUUGUAUAAUGGGUCAGCGACUUAUUUUCAGUGGCGAGCUUAACCGAAUAGGGGAGGCGUAGCGAAAGCGAGUCUUAAUAGGGCGUCUAGUCGCUGGGAAUAGACCCGAAACCGGGCGAUCUAUCCAUGGGCAGGUUGAAGGUUGGGUAACACUAACUGGAGGACCGAACCGACUACCGUUGAAAAGUUAGCGGAUGACCUGUGGAUCGGAGUGAAAGGCUAAUCAAGCUCGGAGAUAGCUGGUUCUCCUCGAAAGCUAUUUAGGUAGCGCCUCAUGUAUCACUGUAGGGGGUAGAGCACUGUUUCGGCUAGGGGGUCAUCCCGACUUACCAAACCGAUGCAAACUCCGAAUACCUACAAGUGCCGAGCAUGGGAGACACACGGCGGGUGCUAACGUCCGUCGUGAAAAGGGAAACAACCCAGACCGUCAGCUAAGGUCCCAAAGUUAUGGUUAAGUGGGAAACGAUGUGGGAAGGCUUAGACAGCUAGGAGGUUGGCUUAGAAGCAGCCACCCUUUAAAGAAAGCGUAAUAGCUCACUAGUCGAGUCGGCCUGCGCGGAAGAUGUAACGGGGCUCAAACCAUACACCGAAGCUACGGGUAUCACGUAAGUGAUGCGGUAGAGGAGCGUUCUGUAAGCCUGUGAAGGUGAGUUGAGAAGCUUGCUGGAGGUAUCAGAAGUGCGAAUGCUGACAUGAGUAACGACAAUGGGUGUGAAAAACACCCACGCCGAAAGACCAAGGUUUCCUGCGCAACGUUAAUCGACGCAGGGUUAGUCGGUCCCUAAGGCGAGGCUGAAAAGCGUAGUCGAUGGAAAACAGGUUAAUAUUCCUGUACUUCUGGUUAUUGCGAUGGAGGGACGGAGAAGGCUAGGCCAGCUUGGCGUUGGUUGUCCAAGUUUAAGGUGGUAGGCUGAGAUCUUAGGUAAAUCCGGGAUCUUAAGGCCGAGAGCUGAUGACGAGCUAACUUUUAGUUAGCGAAGUGGUUGAUGCCAUGCUUCCAAGAAAAGCUUCUAAGCUUCAGGUAACCAGGAACCGUACCCCAAACCGACACAGGUGGUUGGGUAGAGAAUACCAAGGCGCUUGAGAGAACUCGGGUGAAGGAACUAGGCAAAAUGGCACCGUAACUUCGGGAGAAGGUGCGCCGGUGAGGGUGAAGGACUUGCUCCGUAAGCUCAUGCCGGUCGAAGAUACCAGGCCGCUGCGACUGUUUAUUAAAAACACAGCACUCUGCAAACACGAAAGUGGACGUAUAGGGUGUGACGCCUGCCCGGUGCCGGAAGGUUAAUUGAUGGGGUUAGCUAACGCGAAGCUCUUGAUCGAAGCCCCGGUAAACGGCGGCCGUAACUAUAACGGUCCUAAGGUAGCGAAAUUCCUUGUCGGGUAAGUUCCGACCUGCACGAAUGGCGUAACGAUGGCGGCGCUGUCUCCACCCGAGACUCAGUGAAAUUGAAAUCGCUGUGAAGAUGCAGUGUAUCCGCGGCUAGACGGAAAGACCCCGUGAACCUUUACUAUAGCUUUGCACUGGACUUUGAAUUUGCUUGUGUAGGAUAGGUGGGAGGCUUUGAAGCGUGGACGCCAGUUCGCGUGGAGCCAUCCUUGAAAUACCACCCUGGCAACUUUGAGGUUCUAACUCAGGUCCGUUAUCCGGAUCGAGGACAGUGUAUGGUGGGUAGUUUGACUGGGGCGGUCUCCUCCUAAAGAGUAACGGAGGAGUACGAAGGUGCGCUCAGACCGGUCGGAAAUCGGUCGUAGAGUAUAAAGGCAAAAGCGCGCUUGACUGCGAGACAGACACGUCGAGCAGGUACGAAAGUAGGUCUUAGUGAUCCGGUGGUUCUGUAUGGAAGGGCCAUCGCUCAACGGAUAAAAGGUACUCCGGGGAUAACAGGCUGAUACCGCCCAAGAGUUCAUAUCGACGGCGGUGUUUGGCACCUCGAUGUCGGCUCAUCACAUCCUGGGGCUGAAGCCGGUCCCAAGGGUAUGGCUGUUCGCCAUUUAAAGUGGUACGCGAGCUGGGUUUAGAACGUCGUGAGACAGUUCGGUCCCUAUCUGCCGUGGACGUUUGAGAUUUGAGAGGGGCUGCUCCUAGUACGAGAGGACCGGAGUGGACGAACCUCUGGUGUUCCGGUUGUCACGCCAGUGGCAUUGCCGGGUAGCUAUGUUCGGAAUAGAUAACCGCUGAAAGCAUCUAAGCGGGAAACUAGCCUCAAGAUGAGAUCUCACUGGAACCUUGAGUUCCCUGAAGGGCCGUCGAAGACUACGACGUUGAUAGGUUGGGUGUGUAAGCGCUGUGAGGCGUUGAGCUAACCAAUACUAAUUGCCCGUGAGGCUUGACCAU
rnacentral:rRNA from 2 species